rnacentral:rRNA from 1 species
UUUGGAGGGCAAGUCUGGUGCCAGCAGCCGCGGUAAUUCCAGCUCCAAUAGCGUAUAUUAAAGUUGCUGCAGUUAAAAAGCUCGUAGUUGAAUUUCGGGACCGAUAUAUCGGUCGUGCCUCGGUACGUACUGGUAUUUUCGGUUUCUCCCUUCUGACGAACCUUGAUGUCAUUAAUUUGGUGUCUUGGGGAAUCAGGACUGUUACUUUGAAAAAAUUAGAGUGUUUAAAGCAGGCUCACGCUUGAAUACAUUAGCAUGGAAUAAUGAAAUAGGACGUUUGAUUCUAUUUUGUUGGUUUCUAGGAUCGACGUAAUGAUUAAUAGGGAUAGUUGGGGGCAUUAGUAUUCAAUUGUCAGAGGUGAAAUUCUUGGAUUUAUUGAAGACUAACUACUGCGAAAGCAUUUGCCAAGGAUGUUUUCAUUAAUCAAGAACGAAAGUUAGGGGAUCGAAGACGAUCAGAUACCGUCGUAGUCUUAACCAUAAACUAUGCCGACUAGGGAUCGGAUGAUGUUAAUUUUUUAAUGACUCAUUCGGCGCCUUACGGGAAACAA